rnacentral:rRNA from 1 species
UACAGAGGUGCCGAGCGUUAGGCGGAAUCACUGGGCUUAAAGCGUGUGUAGGCGGACUUCUAAGUACCUUGUGAAAUCCCACGGCUUACCCGUGGAACUGCUGGGUAUACUGGUCGUCUUGAGCCACCUAGGGGCCAGCGGAACAAAUGGUGGAGCGGUGAAAUGCGUAGAUAUCAUUUGGAACGCCAACGGUGAAAACAGCUGGCUGGGGGGUGUGCUGACGCUGAGACACGAAAGCCAGGGGAGCGAACGGG